AGAAAGACUCCUGAUUGUGGGUGAAGAGAUCUGAGGUUUGGUCUCUGGUGCCAUCACUCAUGAGGGAACCUUGGGCUCAUCUCUCGUCAGCUUCAGGUUCCCUUUCCAAGAGAGUCAGGAAGAAAGUCCAACAGGAGCUUUGCCAGUUCUGACAUUCUCUCACGUGAAUACACACAGCUUGCGUGGCAGCAUUCUGGUCUCAUGUCUUAGUCACAAAGGUACUCCACUGUAUCAGAAUAUUUUCCUUGGCUGUGACCUCAGGCCAGGCCACAGGUCAGGACAGAAGAUAACACAGGGACCAUAUUGCUAUGGAGAAGAAAACAAGAAGCUAUCUGUUUUUUCAAACAUAGAUGUGGAAUUAGGAAGUGAGAAAGAAAUGGAAUCUGGACUAAUCCAGUGGACUGGCAUGAUCUGCUGGGGCAGUUGUCUCGAACAUAUCAGUUCCAGCUGCUGAAACACUGGGACCAUAGAGCGGUGAUGGAAAUAAGAAGAUGAAGGUCAAUUAGGACCACGGUGGGGUUGGGGAAGACAAAGACUUUGGUUUCUGUCCUGUAGGCAGCUGAUGGGAUGCUCAUUGCAGGAAGGAUUCUGGAACUGAGUUUCAGAAUGAGCAUUCACAGGCUAUGUGAAAUCACACACUACAGGCUAGGAGUGGUCCAGGGGGCAAAAGCAACAGAUCAGGGAGAGGUCAGAAGCCUGAGCCAGGGUAGUGGCAAUGGGCUAGGAAAGAGAAGGACGUGGGCAGCAGAAUGGCUACAGUUUGGGAGUUAUCUGGACACCAGGGUAGCAUUCUGGUCAGUUUUAUAUCAACUUGGCACAAUCCAGAGUCAUUUAGAGUCAGACUCUAAACUGAGAAAUGCCUCCCUAAGGUUGGGCAAUAGGCAAGUGUGCGAUCUAUUUUUAAUUAAUGCUUGAUGUGGAUGGAAGUGGCAGUGGGGGGUUCGUCUGGGUAGUAUAAGCAAGCCAUGAGGAGCAAGUCAGUAAGCAGCAUUCUCCAUGGCCUCUGCUUCAGCCGCUGCCUCCAGGGACCUGCCUUGAGUUCCUGGCCUGCCCUCCCUUACUGAUGAAACACGACCUGAAAGUUAUAAGG
ensembl:lincRNA